GGCCGGUUAGCUCGGUCGGUUAGAGCGUGGUGCUGAUAACACCAAGGUCAUGGGUUCGAUUCCCGUUCGGUCC
rnacentral:tRNA from 1 species